GCUGUGAAAUCUGGACUGACGUCGAUGGCGUGUAUACCUGUGACCCGCGCCAGGUGCCGGACGCCAGGCUGCUGAAAUCGAUGUCCUACCAGGAAGCGAUGGAACUCUCUUACUUCGGCGCCAAAGUUAAUUAGCGGAUGACCUGUGGCUGGGGGUGAAAGGCCAAUCAAACCGGGAGAUAGCUGGUUCUCCCCGAAAGCUAUUUAGGUAGCGCCUCGUGAAUUCAUCUCCGGGGGUAGAGCACUGUUUCGGCUA
rnacentral:rRNA from 1 species